UGGAGAUGGGGAUUUCUUACUGGAGAUUGCUGAGGCCUUCCAAAGGUGACUUAAAUCCCCUAGAAGCACUAAGAGCAGCCUUUACAUACGUGUUUUCUGAAGAGCUCCACAUGGGGACCUAAAGCGUGAGGGUCUGCAUCCUUCACAAACCAAAUCACAUCAUCCACGGUCCAGGUCAAAGGAUUCUUGCUUGAUGGCCGAGCCACGUCUUGUCGUUCUGGUGAAGGACUUGAGGCUAUCGAUACAAAAAAGCCCACAACAGCACAUUACAAAAGCAUGCAGUGAUUUCCUUGGUUUGUGGGCAUGCAGCAGUGCAGCAGCCCCACGUGUUGGA